rnacentral:lncRNA from 1 species
CCGGAUUCAAUCAGUGACAGCUUGAGCUAAGGUACAUAAGUCCAACCCUUGAAAUAAAUUUUCCCUUCGAUUCAUAUAUUAAGAUUUUAAUUUGUUUGCUUUUUAUUAAUGUGAAGGUUGGAAUGUAUUUGAGCCAUAAACUCAAUUUUUGCAAGACUUUUGAACAAAAGUUUGACAAUGUAUGGGAAUGGAACUCUCAUUGUUAGACUUUAUUUCAAGAAAGAUAUUGAGAAUUUUUGGGAUAGCUUUGAGAAUGGGGAUGCAAUUAAUCAAGAAUGAUUGGGAUAGGCUAUGGUAUGGAACACCAGAAAUCGAGAAUCGUUGGGAAGUGCUAUGCCAAUGGGACAGUUAAUUUCGGGCAAGUAAUCAAGAAUCGUUGGUCUAGGCCAUGGGAAACUUUAGUCGUCAUUCUCAUUCCAAGCAACCAAGAAUUGUUGGAUAGCAUCUAAUCCCAAGCAUGCAACUAAUCAAGAACUUUUGGUAUCGGCUUUGAGAAUGGAGAAUGGAAGUUUCAUUGCCAAACCUUUUAUGACAAGCAAAAGCAAGUAUGAAGAAUGGUUGGGGGUUGUGUUAUUUGAACAAUGAAUGGUAAACCACAAGAAUGCAACUAUGGUUUGAAGGAAAUCUUUGGAAGCUAAUACACAAGAGUUUUGGAGGAAAUUAGGAUGAGGAGCAAAAAAAUAAGGCUCCUCGCUACAUUGGUUACCCGUUUUGUGCUGAUAUGAAGCAAAAUCUCCAAAGGAGUUUUAAGCUUUCAAUUAGGUGGUAGUUUCAGUUUGGAAACUGAGAAUUUUGCGCUGAUUAUGUUGGAAAUAUUUUAAUUCCCAUAUGGACGCGGAAAAUUCUUGUAUUCCAAACAGGGCUAGGAUGGAGUACUAUGCUUGUAAAUAAUUUUUUAUCUUUAUCUUAUUUUUAGCUUUUAAUGUCAAUUUAUAUCUUUAAAAAUUUGAUCUAUAAUCAGAUCUACUUCAACGAAGAUAUUUAGAUUUUGUG